rnacentral:rRNA from 1 species
GACGAACGCUGGCGGCGUGCCUAAUACAUGCAAGUAGAACGCUGAAGCGAGGAGCUUGCUCUUCUUGAAUGAGUUGCGAACGGGUGAGUAACGCGUAGGUAACCUGCCUUGUAGCGGGGGAUAACUAUUGGAAACGAUAGCUAAUACCGCAUAACAAUGGGUGCCGCAUGUUGUUUAUUUGAAAGGGGCAAUUGCUCCACUACAAGGUGGACCUGCGUUGUAUUAGCUAGUAGGUGAGGUAACGGCUCACCUAGGCGACGAUACAUAGCCGGCCUGCGAGGGUGGUCGGCCACACGGGGAAUGGGACACGGCCCAGACUCCAACGGGAGGCAGCAGGAGGGAAUCUUCGGCAAUGGGGGCAACCCUGACCGAGCAACGCCGCGUGAGUGAAGAAGGUUGUCGGAUCGUAAAGCUCUGUUGUAAGUCGAGAAUGAGUGUGAGAGUUGAAAGUGCACGCUGUGACGGUAGCUUACCAGAAAGGGACGGCUAACUACGUG